UGGGGAAUAUUGGACAAUGGGGGCAACCCUGAUCCAGCCAUGCCGCGUGAGUGAAGAAGGCCUUAGGGUUGUAAAGCUCUUUCAACGGUGAAGAUGUUGACAGUAGCCGUAGAAGAAGCCCCGGCUAACUCCGUGCCAGCAGCCGCGGUAAUACGGAGGGGGCAAGCGUUGUUCGGAAUUACUGGGCGUAAAGGGCGCGUAGGCGGUCUGUUGCGUCAGGUGUGAAAGCCCUGGGCUCAACCUGGGAGGUGCACUUGAUACGGGCGGACUAGAAUCCGAGAGAGGGUGGUGGAAUUCCCAGUGUAGAGGUGAAAUUCGUAGAUAUUGGGAAGAACACCGAUGGCGAAGGCAGCCACCUGGCUCGGUAUUGACGCUGAGGCGCGAAAGCGUGGGGAGCAAACAGGAUUAGAUACCCUGGUAGUCCACGCCGUAAACGAUGUGUGCUAGCCGUCGGGCAGCUUGCUGUUCGGUGGCGCCGCUAACGCAUUAAGCACACCGCCUGGGGAGUACGGCCGCAAGGUUA
rnacentral:rRNA from 1 species